CGCUCUGUGGCUGGGCCAAGGGAGCCCGUCAGAGCUGCAGAAAAUAUGAAAAAACUCAGGAUGGCAAUAAUUAAACGAUAUCACAGCGUGUUGCAUGUAAUAACAAUACGUUCCAGUCUGCUCCUCGCAUGGAAACCCCCAGCUUCCUACGGGCCGGCGGUGCGAAGGCCUACGGAGCCACGAGGUCUGCGUGCGGCCCAGGAGCGGCCUGCAGGGUUUGGAAACCCACAGCAGCGGGUCAGACCCGAGGAAAGAAACUGCAAUUGUGGAGAGCACCAGAUGUAAGCCUACGGAAUGGAGAAGUAUUUUUGUGUUUUGUGGGUUCG
ensembl:lncRNA